CACCGGCGGCCCGAGUGGUGGCCACUAUUAUUGGGUCUAAAGGGUCCGUAGCCGGUUUGGUCAGUCUUCCGGGAAAUCUGACGGCUCAACCGUUAGGCUUUCGGGGGAUACUACCAGGCUUGGGACCGGGAGAGGUAAGAGGUACUACGGGGGUAGGAGUGAAAUCUUGUAAUCCCUGUGGGACCACCAGUGGCGAAGGCGUCUUACCAGAACGGGUCCGACGGUGAGGGACGAAAGCUGGGGGCACGAACCGGAUUAGAUACCCGGGUAGUCCCAGCUGUAAACUAUGCUCGCUAGGUGUCAGGGACGGUGCGACCGUUUCUGGUGCCGCAGGGAAGCCGUGAAGCGAGCCACCUGGGAAGUACGGUCGCAAGGCUGAA
rnacentral:rRNA from 2 species